CAGCAGCCGCGGUAAUACGGAGGGUGCAAGCGUUAAUCGGAAUUACUGGGCGUAAAGCGCACGCAGGCGGUCUGUCAAGUCAGAUGUGAAAUCCCCGGGCUUAACCUGGGAACUGCAUUUGAAACUGGCAGGCUAGAGUCUUGUAGAGGGGGGUAGAAUUCCAGGUGUAGCGGUGAAAUGCGUAGAGAUCUGGAGGAAUACCGGUGGCGAAGGCGGCCCCCUGGACAAAGACUGACGCUCAGGUGCGAAAGCGUGGGGAGCAAACAGGAUUAGAGACCCGCGUAGUCCCUGUCUCUUAUAC
rnacentral:rRNA from 1 species